rnacentral:rRNA from 1 species
UACGUAGGGUGCAAGCGUUAAUCGGAAUUACUGGGCGUAAAGCGUGCGCAGGCGGUUUUUUAAGACAGUUGUGAAAUCCCCGGGCUCAACCUGGGAACUGCAUCUGUGACUGCAUCGCUGGAGUGCGGCAGAAGGGGAUGGAAUUCCGCGUGUAGCAGUGAAAUGCGUAGAUAUGCGGAGGAACACCGAUGGCGAAGGCAAUCCCCUGGGCCUGCACUGACGCUCAUGCACGAAAGCGUGGGGAGCAAACAGG